GACUGGGCUGGGUUCGGCUGGGUUGGAAACGGACUGGGCUGGGUUGGGAGGGGAUUGAGUUGCGUAUGGUUGGGGGACUGGACUGCAUUGGGCUGGGUUGGGAAUGGAUUGGGCUGGGUUGGAAAUGGACUGGGCUGGGUUGGGAGGGGACUGAGCUGUGUAGGGUUGGGGGGACUGCAUUGCAUUGGGUUGCGUUGGGAAUGGACUGGGCUGAAUUGGGAGGGGAUUGAAUUGCGUAGGGUUGUGGGGGACUGGACUGCAUUGGGUUGGGUUAGGAACGGGCUGGGUGGAGCUGGAAGGAGAUUGAGUUGCAUAGGGUUGCGGGGGACUGGACUGCAUUGGAUUGAGUUGGGAACGGACUGGACUGGGUUGAGAGGGGAUUGAGUUGUGUAGGGUUGUGGGGGACUGGACUGCAUUGGGUUGGGUUAGGAACGGUCUGGGUGGAGCUGGAAGGAGAUUGAGUUGCAUAGGGUUGCGGGGGACUGGACUGCAUUGGAUUGAGUUGGGAACAGACUGGACUGGGUUGGGAGGGGAUUGAGUUGUGUAGAGUUGUGGGGGACUGGACUGCAUUGGGUUGGGUUGGGAACGGAUUGGGCUGGUUGGAAA